UUUUCUUCAUUCUAGGGUUUUGAUUAUUUGUUAUUGUUGUUGUUGUUUUUUUUUUUUUUUUUGGAAUUUUACUGAAAAAAUUGCGAACAUUUGAGUUUUCUGGAAGUUGGGGUUUUGUCAAAAAGUAGUUAUUCGGUCAUCUAGCACUGCAUUUGGGCCCACAAGUGGGGCCCACUAUCCGGGCAUCUUGGCAGUUGAUCCGAGGCCCCCCCACCGUGAUGGGGCAGGCUUCAAUAUGUAUAUAUGUUUUUUCAGAGUGGAAGGUUGACCACAGCCAGUGGGUCUUUGGGGCAUGGUCAAUCGAUGGUGGGGCCCAGCAGGUCGAUGGUUUGACAAGGAAGAGGGAGCUGAGCUUGUAGAAGAUCAUGUAACCGAGGAUCACGUAGUUUGUCUUUCUUAAUAGAUUAUUUUAAGGGCUUUUAGUUAUGAGCUUUUGAUUUUAAGGGGUCGUUUGGAUGCUGCAGAUGAUUUAAGUGGUGAAUGAUUUACAGGUGUAAACCAUUUACAGCAUCUCUUGUUUGGCUGUAAGCUGCAAAUGAUUUACAGGUUAAUGAUUGUCUGUGUUUGGAUAGCCUGUAAAUGAAAUCCCACCUUUUUUACUGUAAAUGAGAUGGGGUAAAUGCUGUAAGCUGUAAAUGAUUUACAGGCAAAAAAGGUCAUCCAACCGCAGAGUGUAAAUGAUUUCCCAGUUAAUCGUUUACAACUUGCUCCCAUUUACAAGCAUCCAAACGAUCCUUAAUUGUUUGGGGUCAGUUUGGUUGCACCAAAUGUCAGAUAUUUGUUGAGCACUCAAAUACCCAAUUUGGAUUCAUGGUGUCAAAUGGAAUAAAAACCUAAACCAAACCAAUAUGCAAAAUCCUUCUUUUAGGAUGAGUUUGGUUCACCAAAUGUUAAAUAUUUGGUGCAACCAAAUGCACUCUCAAAGAAGGGUUUUGCAGAUUGGUUUGGUUUGGGUUUUUGUUCUAUUUGGCAUUAUGAAUCCAAAUCGGGUAUUUGAGUGCUCUUAUGGAGUGAUGUCUAAUAGAAUUGCACCCAUAUUCAUAGGUAUUGGAAAGAUGAUACUGAUUUUGACAUCAAAACUGUUGGACGAAAGAAACAUCUCAUCUUUUAUGAAUACCAUGUGAUGUUGUGAGUUCAUAUGGGCAAGAUUAGUUUUUUUUUUUUUUCCUUCUUCAAAUGCUAUAAUGAGAUGGGUAUGUGUCAGAUUGGAGCUGUGGAUUUGCAUGAUGUAGACAUUGCAAUGGUCAUGGUUUUAGAUAGUGUUUGCAGAGUUUGACUUGCCUGGGGACCAUAAUUGGGAAGCCUUGCCCGGGGACCAUAACCAGGAUGACUUGCCCUAGCACUGAACUAAAAAAAUACUAUGAUUCUUGUUGUCGAUAUCAUGGGAUGUAGGUGAGCUCAUGAGGGUGAGAUUAGUUUUUUUUUUUUUUUUUCAAUUGCUAUGAUGAGAUGGUUUUUCAAUUGCUAUAAUGAGAUAGUUAUGCAUCAGAUUGGAAUUGUGAGCGGCCACGAUGUAGACAUUGGAAUGGUCAUGUUUUUAAAUAGCAGUUGUGGAGUGCGAUUAGCAUGGGGACAAUAAUCAGGAAGACUUGGCCCGGCGCCUAACUGAAAAAAUGCAUUACGGUUAUUAUGAGAUGUCAUGAGUUCAUGUGGGUGAGAGUAGGGUUUUUUUUUUUUUUUUUUCAAUUGUAAUGAAAUGAGUAUGUUAGAGAUUGGAGUUGUGAGUGACCACGACGUAGUCACAGGAAUUGUCAUGGUUUUAAAUAGUGGUUUUGGAGUGCAGUGUGCCUGGUGACUGUAAUCAGUAAGACGUGUGAGGACCAUUUUUUUUUUUUUGGGUCCAUUUCACUUCACUUUUGUUUUGUUUAGGGGGCGUUCGGAUUGUAAGUUACUUAAGCUACUUAUGCCUCAAGUUAUCUUGGUUUCUACUUAUUAAGCUGAAGUGAUUAAGUAUCUUUAAGUAAAAAAGUUACUUAUAAUUGAUCUUAAACCAAACAUACUUAUCUCAAACAAGUUACUCAUCUACUGCUGUAAGUAGAAAAAGUAACUGAUUUGGUGGUAUCCAAAUGGGCCCUAAGUGACUUGUUUCAUUGCCCUCUGAAACUGAGAUGACCCAGCUGAGUUGAAUUGGUUUCAGAUUAUAUUGAGAACCAUAGGAAUCUAGCAGUUCACAACUGAAAAAUGUAGGAAAAUUCACACUCAUUGCAGAUGUCAUGAGAAGCAAAUGGUGAUGGCAGCUUAUGCGGAGGAAUGCAAGUCUUGUUCCAAGUUCCAAUAAAAUUGGAACUAGCGUUCAGAGGGCCAAAAUAAUAUUUUGAUUCUAACUUUUAUUUGCUGAUGUGAGAAUGGUUUGCUUGCUGUUUCUCCAUCGAUAUAGACUUGUGUACAACACACAAUAGAAAUGCUGUGAUGCACAAAUGGUCACAAAAGGAAGAAAAGGAUUCAAUGCAAUUUGUUGGAAAUUGAAGGAACCAGUUCAUAAAUCUCAAUCAGUUAUUAAGCGCAAAAACAUAGAUGUUAUUUCCAAGUGAUAAGGGAAAUAAAAGAGAACGGUAAUUUGAAUGGAGAGUGAGCUCCAAAUGGCCACCUCUAAUAUCCCCUCUCUCUAUAUCUAAUGCAUUUGAUUGGCAGAUCAAGUGAUUAUGAUUUUGACAAGUUGUAUGUAUUCCAAAACGGGGAACUGUAUUGGCCUUUUAUUCUGCUGGUAGUUUUGAGUUAUGUCAUUUUUAAUAAGUUUUAACAAUUUUGUUGUGCUUUUCCGUUGAUGAUUUUUGGAGUUCCUAAUGAAAUGGUAUCGGAAGAGACUUAUUCAAUGCCAAGAAUUCAGAGUAUGUCUUGAUAAUGUGUCAUUAGAUGCAGAAAUCAGUUCUAACUUUCUACCUGCAUGAUGCAUGGACUGUAAAAAGUCCAUCGAAAGAGAUAGUUAUGAAGAGAACUUUAGCAAAGAGAGGCAAUUUGAACUUGAAUAGCAAGAUUCUCACCAUUAACCUCAAUAUAAAUAAAUAAAAAUCGUAGCAAUUCUUGGUUGAAUAUCCAAGUUUUUAAAAGAUUGCUAACUGGUUAAACUUGGAUUGAGAUGGUGAAGGGAUAUGAGACUUGUUCGCUUACCGAGGAUCGGGCCUUAGAUUGGAUCGACUGACGAAAUAAGAUUCUUAAAGCCAACCCCAAAUAGCUGUGGACAAGGCUUUGAUGAUAUGAUUGGUGAUGCUGAUUUAGCAAUACUCGGCUGAACGCCUAGGAUUUUUUUAAUAGCAUUGCUAUUUGACUGGCUAUAUUGGACAAAACGUUAGGCAAUUAGGAACUAACAUGAGCAAGAAAUGAACAUUGCAGAGGUAAGGAUGUCGAGAUAGAUGCGUGGGAAGACUAGCAAGGACAUAAUAAAGGAUAAGGUCAUUUGAUUGGGAGAGUACAUUAAGAUGGUUCAAUCAUAUGCAUGAAAAACAAAGAAGGCCCUAAUAAAUAGGAGAAGUGAGAAAUUCCAAAAGCAUAGGAUCAUUUGCCCUCCAGUUCUAACUUUGGAA